CCCUUUGAAAAAAACAGUUGCUCUCUCUCAUUCCCUCUCUCUCGCCCUCUAGCUGGAGUCAAAGUCCGGUGAACAAGCCGUCGUACGCCCCUUCCGGUCACCGUCACCGGCCACCGAACUCCGAAGGUAUAUUUUUUUAUAUUUUUUUUGUAUUUUUUAUGUGCUUAUGAUAUAUGUAUAUAUGUGUGGGGUUAGAUUCAAAAAUAGAAAGAAAAGAAAAAAGCAAAAUAAAUAAAAUAAAUAAGAUCACCUUAGGUUUUUUGGUUUUUGAUUUUGGUAUUUUGAGUCUCUGAUAUGGGAUUAUUCUCCUGAUUUGUUAUUACUGAGAUCACUGCUUUUGUAUGUGGUUAGAUCUGAAGAAGUUGUCAAGUGUUUUUGUAUUUGCUAAGAGAAAAUGCCGAAUCCUUUUAUGAUUUUGGCCCUAGCUUUUAAAGCCAAGUUACAUGCUAUAUAUUUUUUUAUCAUUAUCUGUCCCCUCUCUUCCUUUAAUUUUGCAGGUGCAAGUGGAGCGGUGGCACAGUGGCGGUGGGACAAGUGGUGAUGGGACAAGGAGCAGUUGGCCGAACGGCUGACAAGGCUAGGGUUUUUUUAGUUUUGUUUUUUUUUUGUUUUGCUUUGUGUUUGGGUUGAGCUAGGGUUGAAAUUAAUUUUGGGUUUGUUUUGGGUUUUGGCUAUUGAGCUGUAAAUUGGGUUUGGGUUAAUGGGUUUUGGUUUUGGGUAAGUAGUUGGGUUUAUUUCGGGCCAAAAUUGGGCCUCAACACAUUUCAUUUCAUAUUCAUUACAAAUUACAUUUAAUUUAAUAUUCAUAUUUCAUUUAACAUUUCAUUUUAUUAACUUUUUUAUUUAAAUUUAUUAUUUUUUCCUAAUAUACAAUUUUUUUCAUAUUAAUCACAACUAGUAUCAUUUCAAGUUAUAUUUCUUUCCAUUU
rnacentral:lncRNA from 1 species